UGAGUACGAGAUGCUACGGCAUCGAAGCAGUCUAUGUCAUACUUCCAAGAAAAGCUUGCACUGUCAUAAACAAAGAAUGCCUGUACCAUAACCGACACAGGUGGGUAGGUAGAGUAUACUAAGGGGCGCGAGAUAACUCUCUCUAAGGAACUCGGCAAAAUGACUCCGUAACUUCGGGAGAAGGAGUGCCUUAUUUCUAAGGUUGCAAUAACAAGAUCCAAGCAACUGUUUACCAAAAACACAGGUCUCCGCUAAGUCGUAAGACGAUGUAUGGGGGCUGACGCCUGCCCAGUGCCAGAAGGUUAAAGAAGUUGGUUAGCAUUAGCGAAGCUGAUAACUGAAGCCCUGGUGAACGGCGGCCGUAACAAUAACGGUCCUAAGGUAGCGAAAUUCCUUGUCGGGUAAGUUCCGACCCGCACGAAAGGCGUAAUGAUUUGGAUACUGUCUCGGAGAGGGGCUCGGUGAAAUAGACUUGUCUGUGAAGAUGCGGACUACCUGCACCUGGACAGAAAGACCCUAUGAAGCUUUACUGUAACUUGAGAUUGAAAUUGGACUUUAUUUGCGCAGUAUAGGUGGGAGGCGUUGAGAAUAAUCUUGCGGGAUUGUUGGAGCCAUCAGUGAGAUACCACUCUUGUAAUGUUAGAUUUCUAACUUUGUAUCAUUAUCUGGUCAAAGAACAGUUUCAGGCGGGCAGUUUGACUGGGGCGGUCGCCUCCCAAAGGGUAACGGAGGCGCACAAAGGUUUCCUCUGAACGGGUAGAAAUCGUAUCUAGAGUGUAAAGGCAUAAGGAAGCUUGACUGUGAGACCUACAAGUCGAGCAGGGACGAAAGUCGGUCUUAGUGAUCUGACGGUGCUGAGUGGAAAUGCCGUCACUCAACGGAUAAAAGUUACUCUAAGGAUAACAGGCUGAUCUCCCCCAAGAGUUCACAUCGACGGGGAGGUUUGGCACCUCGAUGUCGGCUCAUCGCAUCCUGGGGCGGUAGUCCGUCCCAAGGGUUGGGCUGUUCGCCCAUGAAAGCGGUACGCGAGCUGGGUUCAGAACGUCGUGAGACAGUUCGGUCCAUAUCCGGUGUAGGCGUUAGAAUAUUGAGAGGAGCCUUCUCUAGUACGAGAGGACCGAGAAGGACAUACCUCUGGUGUACCAGUUAUCGUGCCAACGGUAAACGCUGGGUAGCUAUGUAUGGAGUGGAUAACCGCUGAAAGCAUCUAAGUGGGAAGCCCACCUCAAGAUAAG
rnacentral:rRNA from 1 species